CCUACGGGCGGCAGCAGUGGGGAAUAUUGGACAAUGGGCGAAAGCCUGAUCCAGCCAUGCCGCGUGUGUGAAGAAGGCCUUCGGGUUGUAAAGCACUUUCAGUGGGGAAGAAAGCCUUGGGGCUAAUACCCUCGAGGAAGGACAUCACCCACAGAAGAAGCACCGGCUAACUCCGUGCCAGCAGCCGCGGUAAUACGGAGGGUGCGGGCGUUAAUCGGAAUUACUGGGCGUAAAGCGCGCGUAGGCGGUCUGAUAAGCCGGUUGUGAAAGCCCCGGGCUCAACCUGGGAACGGCAUCGGGAACUGGCAGGCUAGAGUGCAGGAGAGGAAGGUAGAAUUCCCGGUGUAGCGGUGAAAUGCGUAGAGAUCGGGAGGAAUACCAGUGGCGAAGGCGGCCUUCUGGACUGACACUGACGCUGAGGUGCGAAAGCGUGGGUAGCAAACAGGAUUAGAUACCCGGUAAGUC
rnacentral:rRNA from 1 species